rnacentral:rRNA from 1 species
GAUGAACGCUGGCGGCAUGCCUAACACAUGCAAGUCGGACGGGGAGGGGUGUUUCCAGUGGCGGACGGGUGAGUAACGCGCAAGAACCUGCCCUUGGGAGGGGAACCACAACUGGAAACGGUUGCUAAUACCCCGUAGGCUGAGUAGCAAAAGGUGGAAUCCGCCAGAGGAGGGGCUUGCGACUGAUUAGCUAGGUGGUGAGGUAAUAGCUUACCAAGUCGAUGAUCAGUAUCUGGUCCGAGAGGAUGAUCAGCCACACUGGGCAUGAGACACGGCCCAGGAUUCUACGGGAAGCAGCGGUAGGGAAAUUGCGGCAAUGGGCGAGAGCGUGAAAGAGCAAUGGCGCGUGGAGGUAGAAGGCCCACGGGUCGUGAACGUCUUUUCUCGGAGAAGAAACAAUGACGGUAUCUGAGGAAUAAGCAACGGCUAACUCUGUG